CGCUGGCGGCGGCCUAAACAUGUAAGUCGAACGGUAACAUUUCUAGCUUGCUAGAAGAUGACGAGUGGCGGACGGGUGAGUAAUGCUUGGGAACUUGCCUUUGCGAGGGGGAUAACAGUUGGAAACGACUGCUAAUACCGCACGAUGUCUACGGACCAAACGGGGCUUCGGCUCCGGCGCAAAGAGAGGCCCAAGUGAGAUUAGCUAGUUGGUAAGGUAACGGCUUACCAAGGCGACGAUCUCUAGCUGUUCUGAGAGGAAGAUCAGCCACACUGGGACUGAGACACGGCCCAGACUCCUACGGGAGGCAGCAGUGGGGAAUAUUGCACAAUGGGGGAAACCCUGAUGCAGCCAUGCCGCGUGUGUGAAGAAGGCCUUCGGGUUGUAAAGCACUUUCAGUUGUGAGGAAAAGUUAGUAGUUAAUACCUGCUAACCGUGACGUUAACAACAGAAGAAGCACCGGCUAACUCCGUGCCAGCAG
rnacentral:rRNA from 1 species